rnacentral:rRNA from 1 species
AUCCAGACUCCUACGGGAGGCAGCAGUGGGGAAUAUUGCACGAUGGGGGAAACCCUGAUGCAGCGACGCCGCGUGAGUGAAGAAGUAUUUCGGUAUGUAAAGCUCUAUCAGCAGGGAAGAUAAUGACGGUACCUGACUAAGAAGCCCCGGCUAACUACGUGCCAGCAGCCGCGGUAAUACGUAGGGGGCAAGCGUUAUCCGGAUUUACUGGGUGUAAAGGGAGCGUAGGUGGCAGGGCAAGUCAGAUGUGAAAACCCGGGGCUCAACCCCGGGAGUGCAUUUGAAACUGUCCAGCUGGAGUGCAGGAGAGGUAAGCGGAAUUCCUAGUGUAGCGGUGAAAUGCGUAGAUAUUAGGAGGAACACCAGUGGCGAAGGCGGCUUACUGGACUGUAACUGACGUUGAGGCUCGAAAGCGUGGGGAGCAAACAGGAUUAGAUACCCUAGUAA